UCCCAUGGCCGUGCGCUUUGCCUUCCUCCCACCCGCCGCAGUAUGACCCCCCAUCGUCAAAGUUGAACCUGCCGCCAGUGGACAUGCAUGAAACAGGUCCUGGCAAUUUCCCUGAAGUCUCAACAAAAAGAAAAAGAAAAAAAAAAGAAAAUGAAAUAGAAAUAAAGAAGGACAGGGUGGUGCUAAACUAAUCGCUGAGUGGAGGCUGAAUUUCAGGCUUGGGGAGGUCAGGGGUGAGGGGCAGGUGGAGACAACCCCUACAGAAAUCACCCAACACCAGUUCUACUCUACUUUAACUUAG